rnacentral:rRNA from 1 species
CAUCAUAAUUUUUAUGGAGAGUUUGAUCCUGGCUCAGGAUGAACGCUGGCGGCGUGCCUAAUACAUGCAAGUCGAGCGAACGGACGAGAAGCUUGCUUCUCUGAUGUUAGCGGCGGACGGGUGAGUAACACGUGGAUAACCUACCUAUAAGACUGGGAUAACUUCGGGAAACCGGAGCUAAUACCGGAUAAUAUUUUGAACCGCAUGAUUCAAAAGUGAAAGACGGUCUUGCUGUCACUUAUAGAUGGAUCCGCGCUGCAUUAGCUAGUUGGUAAGGUAACGGCUUACCAAGGCAACGAUGCAUAGCCGACCUGAGAGGGUGAUCGGCCACACUGGAACUGAGACACGGUCCAGACUCCUACGGGAGGCAGCAGUAGGGAAUCUUCCGCAAUGGGCGAAAGCCUGACGGAGCAACGCCGCGUGAGUGAUGAAGGUCUUCGGAUCGUAAAACUCUGUUAUUAGGGAAGAACAUAUGUGUAAGUAACUGUGCACAUCUUGACGGUACCUAAUCAGAAAGCCACGGCUAACUACGUGCCAGCAGCCGCGGUAAUACGUAGGUGGCAAGCGUUAUCCGGAAUUAUUGGGCGUAAAGCGCGCGUAGGCGGUUUUUUAAGUCUGAUGUGAAAGCCCACGGCUCAACCGUGGAGGGUCAUUGGAAACUGGAAAACUUGAGUGCAGAAGAGGAAAGUGGAAUUCCAUGUGUAGCGGUGAAAUGCGCAGAGAUAUGGAGGAACACCAGUGGCGAAGGCGACUUUCUGGUCUGUAACUGACGCUGAUGUGCGAAAGCGUGGGGAUCAAACAGGAUUAGAUACCCUGGUAGUCCACGCCGUAAACGAUGAGUGCUAAGUGUUAGGGGGUUUCCGCCCCUUAGUGCUGCAGCUAACGCAUUAAGCACUCCGCCUGGGGAGUACGACCGCAAGGUUGAAACUCAAAGGAAUUGACGGGGACCCGCACAAGCGGUGGAGCAUGUGGUUUAAUUCGAAGCAACGCGAAGAACCUUACCAAAUCUUGACAUCCUUUGACAACUCUAGAGAUAGAGCCUUCCCCUUCGGGGGACAAAGUGACAGGUGGUGCAUGGUUGUCGUCAGCUCGUGUCGUGAGAUGUUGGGUUAAGUCCCGCAACGAGCGCAACCCUUAAGCUUAGUUGCCAUCAUUAAGUUGGGCACUCUAAGUUGACUGCCGGUGACAAACCGGAGGAAGGUGGGGAUGACGUCAAAUCAUCAUGCCCCUUAUGAUUUGGGCUACACACGUGCUACAAUGGACAAUACAAAGGGCAGCGAAACCGCGAGGUCAAGCAAAUCCCAUAAAGUUGUUCUCAGUUCGGAUUGUAGUCUGCAACUCGACUACAUGAAGCUGGAAUCGCUAGUAAUCGUAGAUCAGCAUGCUACGGUGAAUACGUUCCCGGGUCUUGUACACACCGCCCGUCACACCACGAGAGUUUGUAACACCCGAAGCCGGUGGAGUAACCUUUUAGGAGCUAGCCGUCGAAGGUGGGACAAAUGAUUGGGGUGAAGUCGUAACAAGGUAGCCGUAUCGGAAGGUGCGGCUGGAUCACCUCCUUUCUA